rnacentral:rRNA from 1 species
GUCUAUGGCCAUUCCACCCUGAACAAGCCCGAUUCCAUCUGAUCUCAGAAGCUAAGCAGGGUCGGGCCUGGUUAGUACUUGGAUGGGAGACCACCUAGGAAGACCAGGUGCUUUAGGUG